AAACGAUGUCGAUUAGCUGUUGGGCAGCAUGACUGCUUAGUAGCGAAGCUAACGCGUGAAAUCGACCGCCUGGGAGUACGGUCGCAAGAUUAAAACUCAAAGGAAUUGACGAGGACCCGCACAAGCGGUGGAUGAUGUGGAUUAAUUCGAUGCAACGCAAAGAACCUUACCUGGUCUUGACAUGUACGGAACCCUCCAGAGACGGAGGGGUGCCUUCGGGAGCCGUAACACAGGUGCAGCAUGGCUGUCGUCAGCUCGUGUCGUGAGAUGUUGGGUUAAGUCCCGCAACGAGCGCAACCCUUGUCAUUAGUUGCCAUCAUUAAGUUGGGCACUCUAAUGAGACUGCCGGUGAUAAGCCGGAGGAAGGUGGGGAUGACGUCAAGUCCUCAUGGCCCUUAUGACCGGGGCUUCACACGUCAUACAAUGGUCGGUACAGAGGGUAGCCAAGCCGCGAGGUGGAGCCAAUCUCACAAAACCGAUCGUAGUCCGGAUUGCACUCUGCAACUCGAGUGCAUGAAGUCGGAAUCGCUAGUAGUCGCAGGUCAGCAUACUGCGGUGAAUACGUUCCCGGGUCUUNU
rnacentral:rRNA from 1 species